rnacentral:rRNA from 1 species
UACGUAGGGUGCAAGCGUUGUCCGGAAUUAUUGGGCGUAAAGAGCUCGUAGGCGGUUUGUCGCGUCUGCUGUGAAAUCCCGAGGCUCAACCUCGGGCCUGCAGUGGGUACGGGCAGACUAGAGUGCGGUAGGGGAGACUGGAAUUCCUGGUGUAGCGGUGAAAUGCGCAGAUAUCAGGAGGAACACCGAUGGCGAAGGCAGGUCUCUGGGCAUUGACUGACGCUGAGGAGCGAAAGCAUGGGGAGCGAACAGG